UGUCUCCUCCACCCUCCGAAAAGGUGGAUUUGCCCCAAGUCGCAAGGCUUGGGGCAUUUUUU
rnacentral:ncRNA from 1 species